GAGUGUGUGUGUGUGUGUGUGUGUGUGUGUGUGUGUGUGUGUGUGUGUGUGUUUGUGUGUGUGUGUGUGUGUGUCCACUGACGGGGGUGACCCAGACUGGACCCCAGAGGCUGCCCCAAGGAACCCUACAGAGGAGAGGAGCGGAGAGACAGAACAGGAGUGUGUGUGUGUGUGUGUGUGUGUGUGUGUGUGUGUGUGUGUGUGUGUGAGAGAGAGAGAGAACCCUCCUGCACGCACCAUGCCGACGGACCUGGAGAGACCAGGGAGGCCUCCACCCAACUUCAUCUGGAACACUGAGGCCUCCCCCCCAUACACACACACCUCUACACACUCCCUCAGACACACACACGCAUGCGCACACACACACACACGCAGAUUCCAACCACACAUGAUGUCUUGAUGUGAUUCACCUUAUCAACCUGUACUUUUUUCAGCUUGAGUCCUAAUAGUGAAGUGAGGAAGAGGGUGUGCGUGUGCGUGUGUGUGCGCGUGUGUGUGUGUGCUAAUGAAUGAAUGAGUGGACAUGUGGUUGUUGGUUAGCUGUUGAAAAGUUAAGUUAAUGUUCAGCACAAGUAGUGGAAAUGCAGCAAGUCCUUCCUUUUCUACUCAGCUUUAGCCUAGACCUCCUUUACUGCUCUCAAUCACUGACACCUGUGUGUGUGUGUGUGUGUGUUUGUGUGUGUGUGUGCGCAAGUGUGUGAGAGUGAGCGUGUGUGUGAGAGAGUAUGAGAGCGUGAGUGUGAGCGAGCAUGCAUGUGUGUGUGAGCAGUAGCUUAUGUGGUACUUUGGUCUUAAACAAUAACGGAUUUUCAGGUAAGACUGUUUAGCAUGUUGGUUGCAGCAAUGAUAGGUUUGUGUGAUUGAAUGCGUUUGGUGUGUGUGUGUGUGUGUGUGUGUGUGUGUGUCCAAGUAAGAAUAGGUUCUAGAGGGGAAUGGUCUGGACUUGUUGUAAAUUGUUGCCCUGUAAAAUGGUCAUGAGCUGUUCAUCAAUAAAUCCCUUUCAAGUCAUUUAA